UUGGAGGGCAAGUCUGGUGCCAGCAGCCGCGGUAAUUCCAGCUCCAAUAGCGUAUAUUAAAGUUGUUGCAGUUAAAAAGCUCGUAGUUGAAUUUCGGGGUUCUUCCGUUGGUCAGGCUAACAAGUCUGUACUAACGUGUAGAAUUCCUACCUUCUGGGGAACCAUCAUGUUAUUAAUUUAGCGUGGUGGGAAACCAGGACCUUUACCUUGAAAAAAUUAGAGUGUUCAAAGCAGGCUUACGUCUGAAUACAUUAGCAUGGAAUAAUAAAAUAGGACGGUGGUCCUGUUUUGUUGGUUUCUGAAUCACCGUAAUGAUUAAUAGGGAUAGUUAGGGGCAUUAGUAUUCAAUUGUCAGAGGUGAAAUUCUUGGAUUUAUUGAAGACUAACUUCUGCGAAAGCAUUUGCCAAGGAUGUUUUCAUUAAUCAAGAACGAAAGUUAGGGGAUCGAAGACGAUCAGAUACCGUCGUAGUCUUAACCAUAAACUAUGCCGACUAGGGAUCGGACGAUGUUAAAUUUUAUUGACUCGUUCGGCGCCUUACGGGAAAC
rnacentral:rRNA from 1 species